rnacentral:tRNA from 1 species
GCUGAAGUAGUGUAGUAGUUAGCAUUUUACAUUCCCAAUGUGAGGACUCGGGUUCAAAUCCCGACUUCAGCA